rnacentral:rRNA from 1 species
GAUGAACGCUGGCGGCGUGCCUAAUACAUGCAAGUCGAGCGAACGGACGAGAAGCUUGCUUCUCUGAUGUUAGCGGCGGACGGGUGAGUAACACGUGGAUAACCUACCUAUAAGACUGGGAUUACUUCGGGAAACCGGAGCUAAUACCGGAUAAUAUUUUGAACCGCAUGGUUCAAAAGUGAAAGACGGUCUUGCUGUCACUUAUAGAUGGAUCCGCGCUGCAUUAGCUAGUUGGUAAGGUAACGGCUUACCAAGGCAACGAUGCAUAGCCGACCUGAGAGGGGGAUCGGCCACACUGGAACUGAGACACGGUCCAGACUCCUACGGGAGGCAGCAGUAGGGAAUCUUCCGCAAUGGGCGAAAGCCUGACGGAGCAACGCCGCGUGAGUGAUGAAGGUCUUCGGAUCGUAAAACUCUGUUAUUAGGGAAGAACAUAUGUGUAAGUAACUGUGCACAUCUUGACGGUACCUAAGCAGAAAGCCACGGCUAACUACGUG